rnacentral:rRNA from 1 species
UGGCGGACGGGUGAGUAAUGUCUGGGUAACUGCCUGAUGGAGGGGGGAUAACUACUGGAAACGGUAGCUAAUACCGCAUAACGUCGCAAGACCAAAGAGGGGGACCUUCGGGCCUCUUGCCAUCGGAUGUGCCCAGAUGGGAUUAGCUAGUAGGUGGGGUAAAGGCUCACCUAGGCGACGAUCCCUAGCUGGUCUGAGAGGAUGACCAGCCACACUGGAACUGAGACACGGUCCAGACUCCUACGGGAGGCAGCAUG